GUGCCUGUAGUUCAGUCGGUUAGAGCGUCAGAUUGUGGUUCUGAAUGUCGUGGGUUCGAGCCCCACUAGGCACC
rnacentral:tRNA from 1 species